GAUGAACGCUGACAGAAUGCUUAACACAUAAGCAAUUGAUUGGUGGCGGACGGGUGAGUAACGCGUAAAGAACUUGCCUCACAGGUAGGGACAACAUUUGGAAACGAAUGCUAAUACCUAAUACUGUGAGAGAGCUUUGCGUCCCAUUAGCUAGUUGGAGAGGUAACGGCUCACCAAGGCGAUGAUGGCUAGCCGGCCUGAGAGGGUGAUCGGCCAACACCUUCCUUCUCCCCUUCCCUUCCUCCUCCCCUCCUCAUCCGGUGAGAAUAUUUUCCAAUGGACCAAAGUCUGAUCCUUCAAUUCUAUGUUCCCUAUGAAGUUUUCGGAAUGUAAAUUACUUUCAGUUGGGAAGCGGUACCAACAGAAGAAGUGACGGCUAAAUACGUGCCAUCAGCCGCGGUAAUAC
rnacentral:rRNA from 1 species